rnacentral:tRNA from 1 species
GCCACCCUAGCUCAGCCGGUAGAGCAGCUGAUUCGUAAUCAGCAGGUCGUCGGUUCGAAUCCGACGGGUGGCUCCA